rfam:Capsicum annuum cultivar Zunla-1 chromosome 8, whole genome shotgun sequence
UGAUAAUGGUGAGGGAAAUUUCUGAGCAUACUUUUAAAUCUCUCCCAAGCUUGGUAGAAAUUCUCUCAUUCUUUCUGUUUGAAACUUUGAAUCUCACUUAUCAAAUA